rnacentral:rRNA from 1 species
AUGAAUAUCGCCCUCCUAUCCCGUUGGCUUUGGCACAUUUCGCAAGGUCACGGUGGCCUCUGGCUCGACAUCAUCCGGAACAAAUACCUGCGCGAACAGCCCCUCGCCUUCUGUCAGAGAUCUGGCGGGUCCCGGUUCUGGCAGUCGGUCGUCCAGCUUCUUCCGGUUCUUCGCAUCGGGACUUCCAUCUCGGUGGGCUCCGGGGCGCCGACUUUGUUCUGGUUUGAUCGGUGGGCCGGAGACGCUCCCUUCGCGGCGCGUUUUCCCGGCCUCUUCUCCAUCUCCGUCGAUCCUGUGAUCUCUGUCGACAGGGCCCUUAUUGACUUAGGGCGCCUCGCCUUCCGGCGGCCAUUUGGGCCCCCGGAGUCCGCCGCUUGGCGUGAGUUACUGGACUGUGUGGCUCUCCACGAGCCGUUGGUGGACGGUGGGCCUGACCAGGUGCGUUGGCGCCUGGAGCCCUCUGGCCAAUUCUCCACCAAGUCUCUCUACCAGGCCAUCGCCCCCUCCUCCGCCCCUCCCCCCCUUAUGACGGUGUGGUCCAUCCGCCUGCCUCUGAAGAUCCGGAUCUUCAUGUGGCAAUGGAUUCGCGGUCGGAUCCCGUCUGGGGUCGAGGUUCGCAAGCGAAAUGGCCCGAGCACUGGCAUCUGCCCGCUAUGCGGUAUCCCCGAAGACUCGAAUCACAUCUUCUCCUGCGUGUCCGCUCAAUUCGUUUGGAGCUGCUUUCGCGAAGCGGUCGGUGGAAAUUGGUGCCACACCAACUUCCCCGACCUAUUUGCCGAACUCCAGAACUCCCCCUUAACGUCUCGCCACAUUAGGUGGCUUGAGAUUGGGGUCAUUGCUUGGACUCUCUGGACGAUCUUCAAUAAGCGCACUCCUCUGCGACGAGCUACUAACGCUAUCUUCAAACUCUCUGGUUUCUUGCAGCUUUGGCGGCCGCUUAGCCGCCCUCAGGACCGCGACGCCAUCUCCGCCUUCAUCGCCGACCUACGCUCGAUGGCCGUCCGUCUGUCGCCGCCGCCCCCGCCCCCGUCGCCCCCGCCGGAACCUGACUAG